CAAAUGGGAGAAGCCAGAAGACCAGAAUCAGGUAGAUUUAGCUCCAGAGGACCACAGCCCAGUGGAGGAGGUCCCAGUGGAACAGACAAAAGUUUACCAGAACCAACCAACACACCACCAGAAUCAGCCUGUAGACCAAACUCAAGUGACUCAGAACCCCUCAGUCCAAGUCAGUACUCAUCCCACUCCAAAGACUCCCUCUGACUCUGUAGUUCUACAAAAGACCCGACUGAACCAGAAGGUGCACAAGAAACCAGACUGGAACAGAUCUAAUCCUGAUGAAAUAGAUAAAAACCGGAUUGAGGGGGAUCUGGAUGAUCCAACACAGAGGCCCUACACAAAUGCAGGAUUUGACCGCAAUGGUGCAAUCUGGGUAACUGAGAUAACUGAGCAACCAGGCUUCCUGUUUCCUGUUGCUCGAACAACCUCUAUGCCAGCAGUGCGGCGGCAAAUCACAGAGGAGGCAUCAUUGUCAGUGUUAGCACAGUCAAAGUCUGUUGAUUCACCAGACCAAGCUGGUGAAAAUGGCCUCCCUUCUUCCCAGUUGGACCCGUUCACUCACAUCCAAGUCACAGAUAUUUUCUAUGAAGACACAGUCAAAAGCUCUCCACUGGAAACCAUCAACCCUCCUACAACAGCAUCUGCGGCUGUGGUGCCAGGUACUAAUAAAGUGGUCAAAGACCCCCUGUUGCCCUUUGAAGACAGCAUUGCCCCUGUCAACAAACCUCCACCAAAAACCCUUUCAGUUUCCUACACCCCCUCCUCAAUCUGGAUCACAGAAAAGACGGC
ensembl:lncRNA